CGGCUCCUCUUAGGAAAACACCCGGGGGCUAGCAUGUCAAUCACUUGUUUAACACAAAUUACCUGCUCUCUCCAACAUCAGUCACGUGAGGAAAAAGCUUUGUGCAAUUCUUUGGAAAGGUGGGAAGAAUUUAGAUCGAAGCUGGAAAGAGGUGAGACUACCAUUUAAAUUUAUAUCCUACGUUUGGAAAUUAAAUAAUUAGCAACAAAACCAUUCACUGAUAUCGCCAGAGAGAAGCAGUGUGUACUGAGUAACGGAGCCUGCUGGAAUUCAUGCUGUAAAACAGUUCAUGCCAAACAGACAAGACUGGCCACCCCAUUAGAAACUAUAUAUGUGAAGCAUAUUUUGUGUUCUGUUAAGGGUCCAUGUUUUCUUUGUUAGGUCAUUAGUACAUGUUCUGUAAUAUUCCGGACCAUACUUUAAAAUAUACAUGUAUAGUAAGUUCUUGUCUUCCAGACUCUCACAGGCCACUGCAGACAGUAAUAACAUGUAAUAUUUAUCGAAUGCUUGUGAUGGCCUAGACUGUGAUCUAAACUGUUUGUGACAAGUUAGUUGAUAGUCUCACAAAACCGUGGACACCGCUGGAAAGUCCAUAUUUGGAAUUCACGUGGAGUUAAACAGGAAUCUGUGGGGGGAAACACUGUUCUUAAUUUCUGUGAUGGUCCUGCCAAAUAUAACUUAUGUAUGGUAUGUAGCUGGUUGUACAAUUGGAACUGCAGGGAAAUAGGACAUCUCUGUGCGUAGUCCAUAAAGAAGAAUUCCUACUGUGAUCUUGUUUAUCAGACGCAGCCAUGGUUUGUAUUGUUUUCGUAGGGCCUUUUUUUUUUUUUCCAAUUACAACUGUACCAACAAUGAAAUCCUUAGCUUGCUGCUGAUCUUGGUCUGAAUUUUAACUGCCUUUAAAUUCUGCCUUCACUUACAAGAAGAGGCUAAAGACAGACUGACAACACAUUUUGCAGACAAAAGGAUAUCCUGGCUGUAAAUCCCAUAAUAUAUGGCACUGUUUGGGGAUAUGAUACCGUCUGAUGUGCAGGCUUAUUGGAGAACCCCACGCCCAUUUGGUUAACAUUAAAGAAACACUUGACUAUGUCUUAACUUACUGUCCACUUUGAAUACUGCCACGUUGCCUUCACAGGAAACAGGUUUCUAAUUUCUUUAUCAGUAAUCAACUGAAAGUUUCUUUUUGUCAAAUUAAAGGAAGAAGGAUUUUG